AGAUUGAACGCUGGCGGCAGGCCUAACACAUGCAAGUCGAGCGGAUGAAGAGAGCUUGCUCUCUGAUUCAGCGGCGGACGGGUGAGUAAUGCCUAGGAAUCUGCCUGGUAGUGGGGGACAACGUUUCGAAAGGAACGCUAAUACCGCAUACGUCCUACGGGAGAAAGCAGGGGACCUUCGGGCCUUGCGCUAUCAGAUGAGCCUAGGUCGGAUUAGCUAGUUGGUGAGGUAAUGGCUCACCAAGGCGACGAUCCGUAACUGGUCUGAGAGGAUGAUCAGUCACACUGGAACUGAGACACGGUCCAGACUCCUGCGGGAGGCAGCAGUAGGGGAAUA
rnacentral:rRNA from 1 species